UACGUAGGGUGCGAGCGUUGUUCGGAAUUAUUGGGCGUAAAGGGCGCGUAGGCGGUGCGGUAAGUCUGAUGUGAAAUCUCCGGGCUCAACUCGGAGUCUGCAUCAGAAACUGCCGGGCUUGAGUGUGGGAGAGGUGAGUGGAAUUCCUGGUGUAGCGGUGAAAUGCGUAGAUAUCAGGAGGAACACCUGUGGCGAAAGCGGCUCACUGAACCAUAACUGACGCUGAUGCACGAAAGCUAGGGGAGCAAACAGG
rnacentral:rRNA from 1 species